CGGGGGCUCCCAUUCCUGCCUGGCUGCCCAGGGUCGCUGCCACCAUCGCCAGGAUUUCGGGUGAGUGCAAAGCCAGCGGCGGGGAAGGAGGGAAGGGGCUUGGCAAGGGGUGGGGGUCCAGGAUGAGAAGCCCCGGGACGGGGAGAAGAGAAGGGAGGAAAGGGAGCUGUUCUUUUUAACGGGGCCUUGAAGGUGGAUUGGGGGUGGGGGAUUUCCGUUGUGGAAAGAGAGAAGCUUCCUCCUGCCCGGAUGUGAUGCAAAGGAUGUUGCAGGGAAGGAGGCGGGAAAGGGGAGAGGGUUGGGCAUUGCAGACCAGCCUCGCCAUAAUAAUAAUAAUAAUAAUAAUAAUAAUUAAUAAUUGCAGACCAGCCUCGCCAUAGUAAUAAUAAUAAUAAUAAUAAUAAUAAUAAUAAUGAAUGAAUGAAUGCUAUUUAUACACCCCCCCAUUUUCUGGAUUUCCUCAGCCACUCUGGGCGGCUUCCAACAAAAUAAGAAACACCAAAAGCAUCCAAGUCUUCCGUUUUGUAGAGGAGAUGGGGACAUGGAAGGGGCUUGGCAAGGGGGUGGGGGGUCCAGGAUGAGAAGCCCCGGGACAGGGAGAAGCGGCCUGCACAAGUUCCAGGCGGGGAGAAGAAGAGAAGGGAGGAAAGGGAGCUGCUCUUUUUAAUGGGGUCUUGAAGGUGGGGGGGGGGGCGUGUUCCGCUGUGGAAAGAGAGAAGCUUCUUCCUGCCCGGAUCUGGGGCAAAGGGAGUUGCAAGCAAUGAAGCGGGAAAGGGGAGCGGAUUGGGUAUUGCAGACCCGGCUCGCCAUAGUAAUCAUAAUAUAAAUAAAUAAAUUAUAUUUAUACCCCCCCCUCAUUGUCUGGGUUUCCCCAGCCACUCUGGGCGGAAAAACAUCCAAACAUUCAAGUCUUCCGUUUUGUAGAGGAGAUGGGGACAUGGAUUGCUGAAUGGCAGAGGGAGAAAGGGGAAAAGAUGGGGAGGAAAACAAAGGCAGGGGGGUCCUGGCAGGAAGAAGGAAGGGGUGAGGCCUUCUCCAAAGCAGCUCUUGAUUUCUUGAACUCCUUUCAUAAAGUAGUGGGGGCAGGGCCGGAUCACUUUCUAUGUACAUAAGGCUGAAGUAACAUAAUUUAUCUUGAGACAUUGUUGUUCCGAAUUCAUUUUUUAUCCUCUUCAGUCAAGAAACGGAUCUUUACAAAUGGCAAUUUGCAAUCAUCAUUCAGAGGAACAUUCUCAGAAUUGCUUCUACAUUAGGGAAUGCUGAUUGGACACUGUUGUUGUUCUUUAGUCACUUAGACGUGUCUGACUCUUUGUGACCCCAUGGACGAGAAGCACGCCAGGCACUCCUGUUUUACACUGCCUCCUACAGUCUGGUCAAACUCAUGUUAGUAGCUUUGAGAGCACUGUCCAACCAUCUCGUCCUCUGCAUAUAAGUUAAAUAAGCAAGGAGACAAUAUACAGCCUUGUCGUACUCCUUUCCCAAUUUUGAGCCAAUCAGUUGUUCCAUAUCCAGUUCUAACUGUUGCUUCUUGUCCCACAUAGAGAUUUCUCAGGAGACAGAUGAGGUGGUCAGGCACUCCCAUUUCUUUAAGAACUUGCCAUAGUUUGCUGUGGUCCACAUUGUCAAAGGCUUUUGCGUAGUCAAUGAAGCAGAAGUAGAUGAUUUUCUGGAACUCUCUAGCUUUCUCCCUAAUCCAGCGCAUGUUUGCAAUUUGAUCUCUGGUUCCUCUGCCCCUCCAAAAUCCAGCUUGUACUUCUGGGAGUUCUCGGUCCGCGUACUGCUUAAGCCUGCCUUGUAGAAUUUUAAGCCUGCCUUAUAGAAUUUUGACUGGGAGCGGCUGCUGAAAGACCUACAAUGGCUCCCCAUACGUUUCCGAGCACAAUUCAAAGUGUGUGUGUUGACCCUUAAAGCCCUAAAUGGCCUCAGCCCAGUAUGCCUGAAGGAGCGUCUCCACCCCCAUCAUUCUGCUCGGACAGUGAGGUCCAGCGCUGAGGGCCGUCUGGCGAUUCCCUCAUUGCGAGAAGCAAAGCUACAGCGAACAAGGCAGAGGGCCUUCUCGGUAGUGGUGCCCACCCUGUGGAACGCCCUCCCAUCAGAUGUCAAAGAGAUAAACAACUACCUGAGAUUCAGAAGACAUCUUAAGGCAGCCCUCUUCAGGGAAGUUUUUAAUGUGUGACAUUUUAGUGUAUUUUUGGUCUCUGUGGAAGCCGCCCAGAGUGGCUGGGGAAACCCAGCCAGAUGGGCGGGGUACAAAUAUUAAAUUAUUAUUAUUAUUAUUAGCAUAACCUUGCUAGCGUGUGAAAUGAGCACAAUUUUGUGGUAGUUGGAGCAUUCUUUGACGCUGCCCUUUGGGAUUGCGUUCUAGACUGAUCUUCUCCAAUGCUCUGGCCACUGCUGAGUUUUCCAAACUUGCUGGCAUAUUGAGUGUAGCACCUUAACAGUAUCAUUUUUUAAGAUUUCGCUGGAAUGUCAUCACUUCCAUUGGCCUUGUUAUUAGCAGUGCUUUCUAAGGCCCAUUUGACUUCACUCUCCAGGAUGUCUGGCUCAAGGUUAUCAGUCACACUAUCUGGGGUGUAUGGGACAUCCAUAUCUUCCUGGCAUAAUUCCUCUGUGUAUUCUUGCCACGUCUUCUUGAUGUCUUCUGCUUCUGUUAGGUCCUUACCACUUUUGUCCUUUAUUAUGGUAAUCUUUGCAUAAAAUCUUCCUUUAAUAUCUCCAAUUUUCUUGAACAGAUCUCUGGUUUUUCCCCAUUCUAUUUUUUCCUUCUAUUCUUGGCACAGCUCGUUUAAGAAGUCUCUUUUGUCUCUCCCUGCUAUUCGUUGGAAGUCUGCAUUCAGUUACCUGUAUCUUUAACUAUCUCCCUUUCAUUUUGCUUGCCUUCUGUCCCCCACGGUUUGUAAAGCCUCAUUGGACAACCACUUUGCUUUCUUGCAUUUCCUUUUCAUUGGGAUGGUUUUCAUUGCUGCCUCCUGUAUGAUGUUCCGAGCCUCCAUCCAUAGUUCUUCAGGCACUCUGUCCACCAAAUCUAAAUCCUUAAAUCUGUUCCUCUCUUCCACUGUGUAUUCAUAAGGGAUUUGAUUUAGAUGGUAUCUUAUUGGACCAGUGGUUUUCCCUCCUUUCUUCAGUUUAAGCUUGAAUUUUACUAUAAGAAGCUGAUGAUCUGAGCCACAGUCAGCUCCAGGUCUAGUUUUUGCUGACUGUAUAGAGCUUCUCCAUUUUUGGCUGCAAAGAAUAUAAUCAAUUUGAUUCCGAUGCUGCCCAUCUGGUGAUGUGCAUGUGUAGAGUCAUCUCAUGUGUUGUUGGAAAAGAGUGUUUGUUAUGACCAGCUUGUUCUCUUGACAGAACUCUAUUAGCCUUUGCACUGCUUCGUUUUGAACUCCAAGGCCAAACUUACCAGUUGUUCCUUUUAUCUCUUUGACGCUCUACUUAUAUUCCAGGUUCCUAUGCAAUAUUUUUCUUUGCAGCACUGGACUUUCCUUUCACUUCCCGCAAGUGAGCGACCUUUCGGCUUCUGCCCAGCUGCUUCAUCAGCUCUGGAUCUACUUGUACUUGUCCUCCGCUCUUCCUCAGUAGCAUAUUGGAUGCCUUCCGACCUGAGGGGUUCAUCUUCCAGUGUCAUAACUUUUAUACGACCAUGGAGUUUUCUCAGCAGGGAUACUGGAAUGGCUUGCUGCUUCCUGCUCCAGGUGGAGCACGUUUAGCCAAAACUCUCCACUUUGACCUGUCUGUCUUGGGUGGUCCUGCACGGCAUAGCUCAUAGCGUCUCUGAGUUAUUCAAGCCCCUUUGCCAUGACAAGGCAGUGAUCCAUGAAGGACAUGGUCAUUAAAUAUUACUUGGUACAGAUCCUUGAUUCAACUGAUUUCUUAUUAUAGCAGUUACUUUUGCCAGAAUUAAAUAUUCAUUUAGUUUACAAAUCCAUUCCUCUUUUGUGGGUAUAGUUUUUGGCUUCCACCUAGCAGCAAUCACUAUUCUAGCAGCUGUACUUGCAUACGGAAAAGUUCUCUCCCCCCCCCCCCCCGUGGUAUCUCAUCAUCUGUCAAUCCAAGGAGAUAUGUCUCUGGUUUGUUUGUUUUUGAUAUUUUCAACAUCUUCUUUAGUUCUUUGUGUACUACUAUCCAAAAUUUCUUAAUUUCCUCACAACUACACCACAUAUGUGGUCCAGGCAGUGGUAUUUAUAUGAUUUCAAACAAAGCAUUUCUAUUUCAACCAAUCAUAUACACCAGAGAUGUCCAAGCGCUGGACUGCAAUCGACAGGCAGACCUCUGUGUUGUUUUGGGUCGAUUAUGGGACCUUUGAAGGCCCUGCCCCUCUCCGCAAGCACUUCUGCACAUGCUCCUGUUUCUGUUUUUGCUCUGCAGUUCCUUGUUUUAAUGUUUGUUGUUGCAAAAAGAAUUACAUUUUUCUUGCAUCCCCCGCCUCCUUAAAAAAGUCCAUUUGCAGUUGCACAUUCCUGAUAUUCAUCAUUACCUCAUUUUAUUAUAAUACACAUGCGCAACAAGCACUUGCAAUUUCUGCUGAAUAUGUUCUGAUCCCUACCGCAUUCUGUGACAUUGUGUAUGUGCAUGUUGGGAACCUGUGUUACAUGCAGCCAUUUGCAUCAUGUGGCGACUCAUGUUCCAGCUUUCAGCUGUAUCUUUGUGAUUCCCAUAUUAGCUCUAUUUCUGCCCCAACUGGGGGGCGGCAACUUGCAAAAUAAUCAGUUUCAUAAAGCACAGGCUACCAUAAUUUCUGUAUUAGAAGCACACUCAAGGAUUUAAAGGGGUAGACAUUAUCACAUUUUUUGUGGCCCUUUGGGCAACUGCCACAAGGCCACUACUUCCCAUACCAUGCCAGCCUUGGGAAGGGAGAAGGGACAGGCAGAUGGAAGGAAUUGCCAAAGGUGUUUGAAAAUGGGUGGAGGCUCUUGGGAAGCGGGUGCCCAAUAGGGGCUUCUACAGGGGCAGCAUAAUGUCUUGGGCAGAAUCCCUGCAGGAGCUCUGAGACUCCCUUGACUUCUUCCUUCCUCCCAGGAAGCUACAACUUGCCCUAGCUCCUGCGCUCCUCAAGAAGUUGAACCUGCAAGCCUGGUCAGGAUGGACGCAGGAAGUUGGACAGCUGACCUGGUCAAGCUGUCUCCUGCAUCCCUCCCUACGACCUCUGAGCAUCCCCUCCCGGGACCCUCAGAGAAAUCUGGUGAGUUCCAGGGGAGAGGAGAUGGGGACAUGGAUGGCUGGGUGGUGGAGGGAGAAAGAGGAAAAGAUGGAGAGGAGACCAAAGGCAGGAAGGGCCAGGCAGGAAGAAGGAAGGAAGGAAGGGAGGGAGGGAGGGAGGGGUGAGGCCUUCUCUAAAGCAGCUCUUUGUUUUUGGAAUCCCUUUCAUAAAGUAGUGGGGGCAGAUUUUCUUUAUGCUUUUAAAUCUCUGGUGUUAUUUCCAGUGCAGGAUUAAUUGAUGAUAAUGAUGUUGCACACCAAUUCAGAAAAAUGGGUGAAGGGGCUAUGGAAAUGCUUCCCGUCAUUAUUUAUACUUCAUAUAUUUAAAUAGUUUAUAUUACUUUUAUUUUUUUAAAGACUGGGUCAGAGUGAUACAUUCCACUAGCAGCAAAAUACAGUAGAUGCAUGAACCUCCCCAGUUUGGUGGGCUUUUCGGACAAAGGACCUGUUAUCAUGAUACACAAUACCUGUGGCUGGAGGCUCUACACAUAGGAUUCGGCAUAUGAAGCUACCAAGGGUGGCCAGGACUAUAAGCAAAUUGUGUGAACUUACAGACAGGGGUUGUGUGUGAGAGUGAGUGAGUGGGAUAAUAAUUUAUAGCGCCCCUGUAAUUCUGUCCCUCCAUAAACUUACAUGGAGAUACAGUGGUGCAACCUUGGUACAAAUUUCAAAAUCAGUGCACAAAACCAACAAAGAGGGUUUAUAGUGGCACCAGCUUUCCUAAUCAAGAGUCCACUUUGUCAGAUUGCAGCCCACAAAAGCUUAGGUCAUAAUACCUUUAUGAGCCUUUUAGGGCUGCAAAAUAUGAGUAAACAGAAGCACACGAGACAGUGAUUGCCAGCAACUAGGAUAGCUUGAAAAAAAUGAUUAGACUGAUGCCUGUGCUCUGCCCUCAUGUUCUUAGGCAAUAAUGCUUCUUAAUACUAGUUUCUGGAAAGCACAGGAGGGCAGAGGGCUCUUGGGCUGAAAUCUUGCUUGCUGGUUUCCCCCAAGCAUCUGCUUGGCCACUUUGAAAACAGGAUGCUGGACUAGGUGGGGCUUUACCCAAUCCAGCAGGGUCUGUUUAGGUUCUAAUAUAUUGCAAUAUUUUUACAGUUACAUGUAGCAUAAGAACACUUCACUUUUACUUCUUACUCAUAGGAGAGAAUGCUGUUGGAGCCUGAGAUAAUUUCCUCACUUGAAAAAGAAAAAGACAGAUGUUUCUUAUAAGCCAGUCUUAUAAGCCAGUUCCACCGUAGAUCUCUAUUAUAAAAUGAUGGUGCUUUCUUAAGUGUGAAUGGAGUGAUCAUGGGUUGCUCUUGCCAUUAUCUCAUCUUUAGUCCUAAAAAUUUGGAACAUGGAGACAGUGGACAAUGGAGUGAAAAUAAGAGAAGGUGCACAUGGGAAUUCACAUGUGUUCAGUUCUUUUUUUGUCUUUAUUAAAAGUCUAACAAGAUUCUCUCUCCCCCCCCACUCCCAAACAGGUGAGGAAGAUGGCGGUCAGAAUUCUACGGAGCCAUCUGUGAAUUCAUUAGGG
rnacentral:lncRNA from 1 species